rnacentral:rRNA from 1 species
GGUGAACGCUGGCGGCGUGCCUAAGACAUGCAAGUCGAGCGGGCCGCGGGGUUUUACUCCGUGGUCAGCGGCGGACGGGUGAGUAACGCGUGGGUGACCUACCCGGAAGAGGGGGACAACCCGGGGAAACUCGGGCUAAUCCCCCAUGUGGACCCGCCCCUUGGGGUGUGUCCAAAGGGCUUUGCCCGCUUCCGGAUGGGCCCGCGUCCCAUCAGCUAGUUGGUGGGGUAAUGGCCCACCAAGGCGACGACGGGUAGCCGGCCUGAGAGGGUGGCCGGCCACAGGGGCACUGAGACACGGGCCCCACUCCUACGGGGGGCAGCAGUUAGGAAUCUGCCGCAAUGGGCGCAAGCCUGACGGAGCGACGCCGCUUGGAGGAAGAAGCCCUUCGGGGUGUAAACUCCUGAACCCGGGACGAAACCCCCGACGAGGGGACUGACGGUACCGGGGUAAUAGCGCCGGCCAACUCCGUG